ACAGGGCCAGGCAGUUCUUAUCCCUACAGGUGGCCUCUACAGCCAGGAGACUGGCAUCUUAUCGGUGUGACACACUCCAGCUCAAUUCUUUAUCAUGGCCACACCAUCCCAGCAUUUGCAAUUUAUAACCUUGUUCAUUGAAUGAAACAUUUUGAAGGGUUACACAAAUUUUCCAUCUCACUUUCUACAUUAUUAGAAUCCGUCUCUCUGUUGUUGCUGAACAACUUUUGGUGCUUUUUGUUUUAUUUUAAAGCUCGUAAAAUGUUCAGGGGUCAUUUUGGCUCGAUUGUAUCAUCACUAAACCAAUACUUUUAAAACGAUACCGGUGCCCACACAAAAAAGGCACAAAACAACGAUUGACGACAUUAAAGAAUGUUUUUUUUUAAUUGUCAUGUAAUUACAUUUUCUUUACUUCAAAUUGAUCAAUAAAUUAACAGUUAAAACAAUACUGUAAAUAUGAAUAAAAACUUUUCAAACUUUUUAACUUCAAACUAUAAACAACAAUGUUUCCCCUCUGUAAGAGGCAGAAGUGUGUGUGUGUACACUUGCGCUGGUGGGCGUGCAAGUGUCUGCUUCUGUCCAUCGGCGCGGUACCAGUAUGGCACCGGUUCUCAGUACCCAACCCUACAGAAGACAGUGAAACCAAACCUGACUGUCAGAUACCAUAUCGAUAGUUGAGUUUACAGUGAUAGGACACAUACGAGCUGCUAUUACUUCACUUUGAUUCAACCUUCACUUCCAUGUUGCACGUCAUCGGAUAGAAAUGUAACUUUACCUGAAAGGGAAGCUGUAAACUGUAUCUUCCGCUGCAUUGUCAAAUAAACGUCUGAAGGCCGGCUUUAUUCCUGGCUUGUAGAGAAAAGUUAAAUCCAUGGCUUCGUCUCAGAGCUCUGGUUCAACCUCUGGAAACAAUGAGUCUUCUGCUGCAGGACCGUCCACCUCGCUCCCACAAGUGUUGCCCGUUCCUCUGGAGAUCCUGGAGGAGAUCUUCCUGCAUCUACCUCCCCAUCAGGUGGUUGGUGUUUGACGGUCGGUGUGCCGUCAGUGGAGAGAAGUGUCUGACAGUGAGUCUCUGUGGAGAGAGAGAUGUCGAAGAGAAGGAUAUCGCCCCCGUGAUCCUUCCAAAAUGACCAAAGACUGGAGGUUGUUUUACUUCUUGUGCAAGAAGAGAAGAAAUCUUCUGAAGAAUCCCAAAGCAGAACAUGGAAUGACGGACUGGCAGAUACUGGGUGAUGGUGAUAGGUGGUGUGUGGAGGAAGUCAGGGUGCCACACCCAAAUGAGACGGUCCAGAAAAACUUUGUGACCACUUACGGGAUGUGCAUGAAGUCCCAGCUGAUUGAUUUGGAGGAGGAAGGUUACAACCCAUCGCUCAUGGAUCGAUUUCAGCCAGAAAUCAGAAUUUAUGAUUGGUAUGCCCCACGACGGGAUUGCGGCAGUAAAUAUGAGAUCUGUGUAACGUUAUUGAAUAAAAAAAAAGAAGCCUGUCAAGACGUUUGCUCCCAAGAUAAUUUACUUCGAUUCGUGGGACAGUCAGAAUUGGACUCAGAUUACCCAUGUAUUCCAGAACUAUGGGCCAGGAGUGAGGUACAUCAGUUAUACACAUGGAGGCAGGGACAAGCAGCACUGGGGACGAUGGUUCAGGAUUCACGUCACUGACAGCUGUGUUGAAAUAUGUUCAGCGAUGGAUCCAUAGAUCCCAGAUCUACACAGACUACCUUUUUCCUACAGACGAACCUUUUCUGACAGUUACAACAUCCAUGAGGUCAGAAUGAAUGUCCUGUGCCAGGCAAAUCUCUUUGAUCAAAGGGGAUUUUUUCUAUAAAUAUUUCAACUACAACAGUAUUACCAACCAGCCUUAAGGUCAUUUCUUUUAAUGUUGUCCUGUUAUGUUGUAAAAAAAAAAAAAACUAUCAGUGGAAAAUUCAUAGAUUUUAGACCCUUUUUUCAUGGAACAAAGUCAGACAAUAUGUAGUAUUUUAAGUUAAGUUUAUUCAUAAUACUGUUUUAUUGUGGUGCUUUAUUAGAAGAUAGAUACAAUACAACUUUGAUGUCAAAUUAAAUAAAAAGCAAAGAACUUGUUUGUUA